CUUCCUUUUUAUUUCUAUGAUUUAUAUCAUAUUUAUUUCUUACUUUUGUUUUUAUUUUUCAGAUCUAUAAAAAGCAUAGGAAAACUCAACAUUAAUCUAAAACGUCGUGAAAGAGAAGAUAAUGAAAAUAAAAAAGAUGAAGGUUCCACUAAAUGAAAGUGAAGAAAGUGAAGGGUUCCAAGAAAGAAGAGAAACGCCAGAAAUUAGAUUAGUCUCAAGGAGUAUAAAUAUUGAAAGUGCAAAAUGAGAAAGAGAUGGUGAGGGAUAUGCACGUGAAUGCAGUGAAUGAAGACAGUGGCUUGAGAUCUAGAAAAUUUGUUUUAACUUCAGAUGUAGAAGAAAAAAAAAUCUGUAACAAAAAAAAUCAACUCUUUCUCAUUCAUGAACUUUUUUUAUUUUAUAA